GAAGUAUAGUCAAAAUGUAGUAUACCAAAAUGCAUGGAGGUGGCACAAUAAUAUUAAUUUUUUGGCUUUAAAAACAAAUUUCGAGGGCUGUAUUUACGUGGACCAACAGACCAACCCUUUAACAGACACUGCACAAGGCAACAGCACUUGCCACAAGCUUCAAUAAAAACUCGCCAUCAACGAUCAACACAAUAUUGCUGCCCAAAGCGGUUCACGAUCACACAACCAGAUAGUCUGAUAAUAGCUCGGAAAAAUUUUGCCCAAUAGAUGAUUUUUCCAACAAUAAAAUAUCGGACUGGCCUUCUUUGGAUGUAGAACGGCCAGUGCAAUUUGCCAUACAACAGGAAUCAACUUCUAUACAAAAAAAAGGACAAAAAGCACACACACAUAUACUUCACAUUUUACACCACAGUUUGUUCACGUUUAUACGUGUUCACAAAAUACACGAAAAUAAAAUAAAUUUUAUCUAAUUGUCUUUUAAUUCCAUUGGCAA